rnacentral:rRNA from 1 species
AGUGAACGCUGGCGGUAGGCCUAACACAUGCAAGUCGAACGGCAGCACAGUAAGAGCUUGCUCUUACGGGUGGCGAGUGGCGGACGGGUGAGGAAUACAUCGGAAUCUACUUUUUCGUGGGGGAUAACGUGGGGAAACUACCGCUAAUCCGCAAUACACCCAACGGCUAAGAGCAGGGGUUCUUGGCACUUUUCCCGUUUCAUUAGGCGAUGUCGGAUUAGCUAGUUGGAGGGGUUAAGGCCCACCAAGGCCACGAACCGUAGCUGGUCUGAGAGGAUGAUCAGCCACACUGGAACUGAGACACGGUCCAGACUCCUACGGGAGGCAGCAGUGGGGAAUAUUGGACAAUGGGCGCAAGCCUGAUCCAGCCAUACCGCGUGGGUGAAGAAGGCCUUCGGGUUGUAAAGCCCUUUUGUUGGGAAAGAAAAGCAGCAGGUUAAUACCCCGCUGUUCUGACGGUACCCAAAGAAUAAGCACCGGCUAACUUCGUG